CUCGGUUCCGUUGUUAAAGACUGGGUUCACGAUAAUAAAUCCUGAGUUUUACACUGGGCUUGGCCUUGGGUCGGGCGAAAGAAUGCAGUUCAUCAGAAUCAAGGCCCGACUUGUGAAACAAUAUGCAUAUAGAGAGAGAGAAGUGAGAGCAGAUUGUUUUCUGCCAAAACUCCCACUGGAGCCGCCGGUGGACCGACCAACCUUCUUUCCGAGUGCUGGUAAAUCCUCCCACACCAUUGUUUCUCUGGGAAACCACCGUAAGAUAAAAAAAAAAAACCCUAAAGGUUGAAACUGCGCCCUGUAAACCACCUCAAAUUUUUGGUAUCUCCGUCGCCGUUCAAACAGGCUAGAAGCUUCCCCGACUGGCCUAGACCUUAAGCAACCCUUUCCCGCCGUCAAUCUCACGGUGAACCCAAGGAAUUUGAGGGGUUUGCAGAAAUGGAGGAAACGAUACCGUUUAAGAAUCUGCAUAGCAGAGAGUAUCAAGGUCACAAGAAGAAGGUGCAUUCGGUAGCUUGGAAUUGUACUGGCACGAAGCUUGCUUCUGGUUCUGUUGACCAAACAGCUCGUGUUUGGCUCAUUGAGCCUCACGGCCAUGGUAAAAUUAAAGACAUUGAAUUGAAGGGACAUACUGAUAGUGUGGAUCAGCUUUGUUGGGACCCCAAGCACACUGAUCUGAUAGCGACUGCAUCAGGUGACAAGACGGUUCGUCUGUGGGAUGCUCGUAGUGGAAAAUGCUCUCAGCAGGCAGAACUUAGUGGGGAGAAUAUAAACAUCACCUAUAGACCUGAUGGAACCCAUGUAGCUGUUGGGAACAGGGAUGAUGAACUGACAAUACUGGAUGUUCGCAAAUUUAAGCCAAUUCAUAGGCGCAAGUUCAAUUAUGAGGUAAAUGAGAUUGCUUGGAAUAUGACAGGAGAGAUGUUCCUUUUGACAACUGGGAAUGGUAUAAUGUUCCAAGCAGUUUUUCUUUUGUUGCUGAUGUGUUGCAUUACCCACAUCACGUUUUUAAAUUCUUGAAUAUUCCAUUUAACUUCCGUUCAGGUACUGUUGAAGUGCUAGCAUACCCAUCUCUUCGACCACUUGACACAGUUGUAGCUCAUACAGCUGGUUGCUACUGCAUUGCAAUAGAUCCAAAGGGAAGGUGAACUGCAAAGCUUUCUAAAUUCUCUUAAGGCUAUUUGAACGUUACAGCAGCUUGGUGCUAUCAAACCUAUGUAAGCAUAUGAUGAAAUCAUGGAACCAUUAUGUUAACCUUUUCCUUUCUUGACAGAUACUUUGCAGUUGGAAGUGCUGAUUCCUUAGUUAGCCUUUGGGAUAUCUCAGAGAUGCUUUGUGUCCGAACAUUUACGAAACUAGAAUGGCCUGUCAGGACAAUAAGCUUCAACCACACGGGAGAUUAUAUCGCAUCUGCUAGCGAAGACUUGUUCGUUGAUAUAUCCAAUGUUCAUACUGGACGCUCCUUGCAUCAAAUCCCAUGUAAAGCUGCCAUGAAUAGUGUUGAGUGGAAUCCUAAGUACAAUUUGCUUGCAUAUGCUGGGGAUGAUAAGACCAAAUAUCAGACUGAUGAAGGUGUUUUUCGAAUAUUUGGCUUUGAGAAUCCCUAAAUUAUACCAGAGCUUGGGCUAGCAUCAUGUUGUAACAUCAGAAUUAUUGGUCUCUUUUUGUUCGAUUGGCUUUUGAUUUUUUUUGGGUACAAAAAAAAAAUUUUAAAGUCAAGAGGUGCCAGGGAUUUGCCUUAAAUUGUUUGCUUUAAAUUAUGUCCUUAUUAUGUUUGAUCUUGUUCAUGAAAUAUGAAUUUAUGUUUUGUUUUAAAUUAUUUCCUUGUUAUAUUUGAUCUUCUUCAUGAAAUAUGUAUAUCUUCUUUUAUUAUAGUUGUCGCAGUUAUGAUCAAAUAAAUUAUGAACUUUGUGUAAAAA
rnacentral:misc_RNA from 1 species